GUCUACGGCCAUGCCACCCUGAACAUACCUGAUCCCAUCUGAUUAAACAGGGUCAGGCCUGGUUAGUACUUGGAUGGGAGACCACCUAAGAAUACUAGGUGCUGUAGGCA
rnacentral:rRNA from 1 species